rnacentral:rRNA from 1 species
GGAAUGCUCAGUUACGGCGAGUGAGCGGCAAAAGCUCAAAUUUGGAAUCUCAGUCUUUCAGGCUGCGAGUUGUAAUUUGAAGACGUAUUUUGAAGUAAGCACAUGUCGAAGUUCCUUGGAACAGGACGUCACAGAGGGUGAGAAUCCCGUGCGAUGUGUUCACUGCUUCAUGUAAAAUGCAGUCGAAGAGUCGAGUUGUUUGGGAAUGCAGCUCUAAGUGGGUGGUAAAUUCCAUCUAAAGCUAAAUAUUGGCGAGAGACCGAUAGCGAACAAGUACAGUGAUGGAAAGAUGAAAAGAACUUUGAAAAGAGAGUGAAAAAGUACGUGAAAUUGUUGAAAGGGAAGGGCUUGAGAUCAGACUCGGGCAACCGGGCCAGCAUGGGGUGGGGGAGUAGGAUAACCCUGCAGGAAAGUGGCUUCGCUUCGGUGGAGUGUUAUAGCCUGUAGCUAUACUGCUACCCUCGCCCGAGGACUGCGGAAACAAGGAUGCUGGCAUAAUGAUCUUAAGCCGCCCGUCUUGAAACACGGACCAAA